rnacentral:misc_RNA from 1 species
UCCCCGUUACCGGGGCAGUCUAGCCAGAGAAAUCCAACUGACUAUAGGGGUUGCGCUCGUUGAUGGACUUAACCAAACAUCUCACGACACGAGCUGACGACGGCCAUGCAACACCUGUCACUGCGUUCUCGAGAGCACUCUUUCCUUUCGGAAAGAUUCGCAGGAUGUCAAACCUGGGUAAGGUUCUUCGCUUAUCAUCGAAUUAAACAACACGCUCCACCGCUUGUGCGGGUCCCCGUCAAUUCCUUUAUGUUUUAAGCUUGCGCUCGUACUCCACAGGCGGGAUGCUUAACGCGUUAGCUUCGCUACUACACGGGUCGAUACGCAUAACAGCUAGCAUCCAUAGUUUACGGCGUGGACUAC